rnacentral:rRNA from 1 species
GAUGAACGCUGGCGGCGUGCCUAACACAUGCAAGUCGAGCGAAAGGACGAGAAGAUUGUGCCGCUGAUGUUGGCGGCGGACGGGUGAGUAACACGUGGAUAACCUACCUAUAAGACUGGGAUAAUUACGGGAAACCGUAGCCAAUACCGGAUCAUAUUUUGAACCGCAUGGUUCAAUAGUGCGAGUCGGCCUUCCUGGCUGUUUGAGAUGGAUCCGCGCUGGAUUAGCUAGUUGGUAAGGUAACGGCUUACCAAGGCAACGAGGCAUAGCCGAGCUGAGAGGGUGAUCAGCCACACUGGAACUGAGACACGGUCCAGACUCCUACGGGAGGCAGCAGUGGGGAAUCUUGGGCAAUGGGCGAAAGCCUGACGGAGCAACGCCGCGUGAGUGAUGAAGGUCUUCGGGUCGUAAAGCUCUGUUAUUAGGGAAGAACAGAAGUGGAUUUAACCGUGCAGAUCUUGACGGUACCUAAAGAAUAAGCCCCGGCUAACUACGUG